CGGUGGAGCAUGUGGUUUAAUUUCGAAGCAACGACGAAGAACCUUACCAGGCCUUGACAUGCAGAGAACUUUCCAGAGAUGGAUUGGUGCCUUCGGGAACUCUGACACAGGUGCUGCAUGGCUGUCGUCAGCCCGUGUCGUGAGAUGUUGGGUUAAGUCCGUAACGAGCGCAACCCUUGUCCUUAGUUACCAGCACGUUAUGGUGGGCACUCUAAGGAGACUGCCGGUGACAAACCGGAGGAAGGUGGGGAUGACGUCAAGUCAUCAUGGCCCUUACGGCCUGGGCUACACACGUGCUACAAUGGUCGGUACAAAGGGUUGCCAAGCCGCGAGGUGGAGCUAAUCCCAUAAAACCGAUCGUAGUCCGGAUCGCAGUCUGCAACUCGACUGCGUGAAGUCGGAAUCGCUAGUAAUCGUGAAUCAGAAUGUCACGGUGAAUACGUUCCCGGGCCUU
rnacentral:rRNA from 1 species